rnacentral:rRNA from 1 species
UGAGGAAUAUUGCGCAAUGGGCGAAAGCCUGACGCAGCGACGCCGCGUGGAGGACGAAGGCCUUCGGGUCGUAAACUCCUGUCAAGUGGGACGAAAGCCGGGGGGAUGAAUAAGCCCUUCGGUUGACGGUACCACUGGAGGAAGCCCCGGCUAACUCCGUGCCAGCAGCCGCGGUAAUACGGAGGGGGCCAGCGUUGUUCGGAAUUAUUGGGCGUAAAGGGCGCGUAGGCGGCUUGGUAAGUCAGUCGUGAAAUCCCUCGGCUCAACCGAGGAACUGCGGCUGAAACUGCCGGGCUUGAGUCCCGGAGAGGGUAGCGGAAUUCCCAGUGUAGCGGUGAAAUGCGUAGAUAUUGGGAGGAACACCAGUGGCGAAGGCGGCUACCUGGACGGGUACUGACGCUGAGGCGCGAAAGCGUGGGGAGCAAACAGGAUUAGAUACCCCCGUAGUCC